CUACAUGGAAAUGCAAAGUGAUCCUUGCUUUUCUUAACCUCUCCAAGUGGCUGAAAGGGGAGCGGUAGGGGGAGGAUGUUUAUCAGCAUGAUUCAGAUGGAGUUGCAAUGAAUUCUUUUUCUGUCUUCAUAUGUCUGGACUCCUACGUUUUAAUAGAUGUGUGUUUAGUUUCUUGAUUAGUAUUUUCCAGUGGAGCUCAUAUUAGCACUCAACUGUCAUUUGAAAAGCCAUCUUAAUUAUUUAUGUGAUUGCUUUUUCUUUUGUAUUUACGAAGAAAUACACUUUGCAUAUAUUUAGGAAAGAUGAUUAAGGGAUCAGUCAUCAGGAACAGCAAGCAAUGGUUUAUAUCAAAAUGGUUAUUGAGAAAGCAGAGAGAUGAGGGGUAAGAGAAGAGAUUUAUUAGUCAGAGCUAAUGGAAUAUGCAUGUGUUAGGGAGAGAGCGCAUGCUCGGCUGAUUGUAGCCCCACAGUCUGCUGCUGGAGAGAGUGAAGUGUUGUAAUUAUUCCAGUUUUCAAUAGAGCCGACACCAGGUCUAUCUGUCUAGUGUGAGCGAAGGCGAAUGGAACGCUGACAGUAGGAUGUCAUUUUGCAGCCUCAUUGAUAAGCAUCAGAAAUAGUGAUUUCCCUGUUAUUUUCAGAUAAGGACUACUUGGUACCAGCCAUUGUAUUAGGCACCUGGGUUUGGCACUUGGCUGUGUUUUAAUAGACACCGACACCCCGUUUUCAUGACAUGAUGUUGAGGAGUGAUGGGCUCGGAUGCUGAGUAAUAAAGUAUAAGAGCCGCUGGAGAAAUCCAUCUACUUUUUGGCUCCCUCCGUCCACUCGGUGACUUUAUGAUCAUGAGUGGCUUUGGUGUUUGUGGCAAUUUCUCCCAUUCUCCUUUGAUGAUAAAAGCUUAAAUCCCGUAAUUUGCCGUAACCGAUCAAAGUCCUUAGGUGCAGUGCCUUUUGCUUUGUGAUAUGUGGGUGUUGGGGGGGAGGCAGGCAGCACAUGGGCUGGGUAAUUUGCAAGCCUGACGCCUGUCUAAGCUGGUGCCUUGACUUGGAAAAGACGAUUGUUAUUUAUUCACCACAUCCCAGAGUGUAAGGCCCAUCCCCGUUGUUUUGAAUGAUCUUUAGCUAAACAAAAAUAUAAAAACUAUUAAUAUUAUUAAUAGUUAGAGAUUGUUGGGAAAAGUUCAUCCUACGUCAGUUGCUGGAUUUGUUCCUCAUUUCUUUGCUUUAAAAAUUGUUUUUAUGGAUAGUAUUGGACUUGCAAUAAAUAAAGCAUGGUGUAUAAACAAGUCUGCGAACCAGCAAGAACUAUAUAAACCACUUGCUUUAAUCAACAAGCGAGCACAUCUCCCCCCCCACACACAUGCAUAAAGGAGUCUAGAGUUCUCCCUUGGGAGGUUUUUAUUCACAUGAUGGCCUGUGAUCACCAUCAGCUGCAGCAUAUGGAAAUUCCCAGGCUACGGUUCAAAAUGGAGCUGUACUUGCUGGCCUACACCACAGCCACACAGCAAUGCAGGAUCCGAGCCACAUCUGCGACCUAUACCACAGCUCACAGCAACGCUGGAUCCUUAACGCUUCUGAGCAAGGCCAGGGAUCGAACCCGCUUCCUCAUGGAUACCAGUUUGAUGCGUUUCCCCCCGCGCUACAGUGGGAACUCCCAGCAGUGAAAUAUUGAUGCUAAGUGUUAAACCCAUCUUGCAGCUGAGGCAUUGGAGGCUGGAAGGGGGAAGGGCUUUGCCUCGCCUCACGCAGCUGGGACCUAUGGGUAGACCCCAGAUUGAGGCCGUAGCUCCUGACCAUGAAACCAUCUUGUUACUCGGUCCAAAAUUAGGUGUGCGUGUUGUUUCAGAGGACUGGCCUGUCUUUUUCAAGGACUAAGCCAAGGCGUGUCAUCCCAGAGGCUGGAGUAUUUCUCUGUCCGUGACGUGAGGGGCCCUGUGGGUCCCUGGGAAGGGGCGUCCUGGGCAGUGUUGUACCCCAACAGAGCUGAGGAACCUCACCGCCCCAAGAGGUGUUGCUCCCAGGUCCCUUUUCAAGUGGAAUAUAGUGUAUUUACUGUUGCACUGAAGAUGCCUCUUUGACCUUUCUUGUCAUAGGCUCCGGAAUGAUUCUUUAUCAGAAAAUAAAUUAUUCAUCCUUCUUCUAGACAUCAUCGGCUGCUAAAAUAUUCUGAGUUUUCUCUGUCUCCAGAAUGCCUAAAACUUGUGAUGGGUGCUCCUCUAAGUUUUCCAUUUCAUUUCUUGUACAGAGAAUUUUGCAUCGCCUUAGUCUUGUGUGUUACUCAUUGUCUUUGAUCACCAUCUCCGUGUCUUACUUUUGUGUGUGUGUGUGUGUGUGUGUGUGUGUGUUUCACUCAGUCUUGAAUAUUUCAAAUUUUAAAUCCAUUAAAACCUUUGCCUAACAAGGGCCGUGAUUUACUGCAGAGUUUUGAAGAGUGAAAGUCUCGCGCAGACGGAGGGCUGCAAGACACGCCCAAUCAUGUGAAGCCCAGCACAGCUGCAUCCUUUCGUUACCAUGGGGCCCCCCGAGUUCUUGUUAAGCGAUUUUGACAUGGUUUGAAGAGAUGGAUUUCAUCUUUAGACGGUGUUCAGCCAGUGGCCGAAAGUCUGCUUCUGGCCUCUAUUUAGGAACCAUUAUUUAAGCAGAAAAAAGUACGCUUGAGACCGCUUUCCCUAUUUACUGUGGGGCGUUUACAGAGAGGCUUGGACAAAGCAGGUGUUAGAUUAAACUGAGAGGAAAAGCAGUCCUUGUACCCAUAAAACCUUCUGUGCGAGGACAAGUGGCUGUCUGUAAGCGAGGCAGCUGGUCUCUGAACGGGGCAGCACACACCAUGGUAGGUUAUGUUGAGCAUGUCUUUAAAAUAGAGUAAGUUUUGGAGUUCCCGUCGUGGUUCCGUGGAAGCAAAUCUGACUAGUAUCCAUGAGGGCAGGUUUGAUCCCUGGCCUCGCUCUGUGGGUUAAGGAUCCUGAGCUGUGGUGUAGGUCUCAGACUCGGGGCUCCGAUCUGGCCUUGCUGUGGUGUAGGCCAGUGGCUACAGCUCUGAUUCGACCCCUAGCCUGGGAACUUCCAUAUGCCAUGGGUGUGGC
ensembl:lncRNA